UACGAAGGGGGCUAGCGUUGCUCGGAAUCACUGGGCGUAAAGGGUGCGUAGGCGGGUUUUUAAGUCAGGGGGUGAAAUCCUGGAGCUCAACUCCAGAACUGCCUUUGAUACUGAAGAUCUUGAGUUCGGAAGAGGAGAGUGGAAUUCCCGGUGUAGCGGUGAAAUGCGCAGAUAUCGGGAAGAACACCCGUGGCGAAGGCGGCUCUCUGGGACGGUACUGGACGCUGAGA
rnacentral:rRNA from 1 species